rnacentral:rRNA from 1 species
UGCUAAUACCGGAUACGAAGUCUGUGCCGCAUGGUACGGAUUUGAAAGAUGGCCUCUAUUUAUAAGCUAUCGCCGGGGGAUGGGCCUGCGUCCGAUUAGCUGGUUGGUGGGGUAACGGCCUACCAAGGCGACGAUCGGUAGCCGGUCUGAGAGGAUGAACGGCCACAUUGGGACUGAGACACGGCCCAGACUCCUACGGGAGGCAGCAGUGGGGAAUCUUCCGCAAUGGGCGCAAGCCUGACGGAGCAACGCCGCGUGAGUGAGGAAGUUCUUCGGAACGUAAAGCUCUGUUGUUCCUGACGAACCUCCCUUCUAUCAACAACGGAGGGGACUGACGGUAGGGAACGAGGAAGCCACGGCUAACUACGUGCC